UCCCUGGUAGUAUAUCGGUUAGUACACGCGCCUGUCAUCAGUGACGUGCACUGAGCACUCCGACGCGCGAAAGCUGGGUUCGACUCCCAGCCAGGGAG